GACGAACGCUGGCGGCGUGCUUAACACAUGCAAGUCGAACGGUGACGAGGUGCUUGCUCCUCUGAUCAGUGGCGAACGGGUGAGUAACACGUGGGCAACCUGCCCCUGACUUCGGGAUAACGCUUCGAAAGAGGUGCUAAUACCGGAUAUGAGUCCCUCCGGCAUCUGAGGGACUGGAAAGUUUUUCGGUCAGGGAUGGGCCCGCGGCCUAUCAGCUUGUUGGUGAGGUAACGGCUCACCAAGGCGACGACGGGUAGCCGGCCUGAGAGGGCGACCGGCCACACUGGGACAGAGACACGGCCCAGACUCCUGCGGGAGGCAGCAGUGGGGAACAUUGCGGAAUGGGCGAAAGCCUGACGCAGCAACGCCGCGUGAGGGAUGACGGCCUUCGGGUUGUAAACCUCUUUCAGCAGGGAAGAAGCGAAAGUGACGGUACCUGCAGAAGAAGCACCGGCUAACUACGUGCCAGCCGCCGCGGAAUAC
rnacentral:rRNA from 1 species